rnacentral:rRNA from 1 species
AUAUGGUCAAGUGAAAAGAGGGUCCACGGAGGAUGCCUAGGAGCUGCCAGGCGAAGAAGGACGCGACAAGCUGCGAAAAGCCGCGGGGAGGGGCCAAUACCCAGAGAUCCGCGGAUGUCCGAAUGGGGUAACCCGCAAGUCUGGAUGACAUGCACAUGCACGUGAAUACAUAGGGUGCAUGGGAGAUACGCCGGGGAGUGAACCAUCUAAGUACCGGCGGGAGUAGAAAUCAAACGAGAUUCCCCCAGUAGCGGCGAGCGAACGGGGAGGAGCCCAAACCGCGUGCCCUCGGGUGCGCGGGGUUGUAGGGGUGCGGCGGGGUUUACCCGUGCAGUGAGAAACCACGAGCGUAGCGGAACGGACCUGGGAAGGCCGGCCAGAGCGGGUGAAAGCCCCGUACGCGAAACGCCCGUGGCUGCAUGGCCGCACUGCCUGAGUACGGCGGGACACGAGAAAUCCUGCCGGAAGCAGGGGGGACCACCCUCCAAGGCUAAAUACUCGGCAGCUACCGAUAGCGCAUAGUACCGUGAGGGAAAGGUGAAAAGGACCCCGGGAGGGGAGUGAAAGAGAACCUGAAACCGUGGACCUGCAAGCGGUCAGAGCCCUUCAGGGGGUGAUGGCGUGCCUUUUGUAGAAUGAGCCUGCGAGUUACCGUAUGCGGCGAGGUUAAGGGAGGGAAGUCCCGGAGCCGCAGGGAAACCGAGUCUGAACAGGGCGUUCAGUCGUGUGCGGUAGACCCGAAGCCAAGUGAUCUAGCCAUGGCCAGGCUGAAGCAGGAGUGAAAUCCUGUGGAGGGCCGAACCUAAAUCCGCUGAAAAGGGUUGGGAUGAGCUGUGGCUUGGAGCGAAAGACUAAACAAACUUGGAGAUAGCUGGUACUCUCCGAAAUAGCUUUAGGGCUAGCGUCGCAUUGAUUGUCGCGGAGGUAGAGCACUGGAUAGGUGAGGGCCCGUCACUGGGUACCGAGCUUAACCAAACUCCGAAUACCGCGAUACAAUGUGCGGCAGUCAGACGGCGACUGAUAAGGGCCGUCGUCGAGAGGGAAACAGCCCGGACCGCCGGCUAAGGUCCCAAAGUCGUGCUGAGUGGGAAAGGAAGUAUGACUGCACAGACAGCCAGGAGGUUGGCUCAGAAGCAGCCACCCCUUCAAAGAGUGCGUAACAGCUCACUGGUCGAGUAGUCAUGCGCCGACAAUGUAACGGGGCUAAGCACGGCACCGAAGCCGCGGGACAGCACCCCUGGGGUGCUGUCGGUAGGAGAGCAUUCCGUGAACGGAAGAAGCAGGGGCGCAAGCCCGUGUGGACGGGACGGAAGAGAGAAUGCAGGCAUGAGUAACGAAAAGACGGGUGGGAUCCCCGUCCGCCGAAAGCCCGAGGUUUCCAGGGUAAAGGCAAUCUACCCAAGGGUCAGUCGGCCCCUAAGGCGAGGGCGAGAGCCGUAGCCGAUGGGAAGCGGGUCAACAUUCCCGCACCUCCCAGGGUUCCGAUGGGAUGACGCAUAGGGCGAAACGCAGCCGGGCGACGGUAGUCCCGGCCUCAACGGCGAGCCGAUGAGGCACCCAGGCAAAUCCGGGUGCCGAGGUGAGCCGCGAGCGAGCCGCACCACGGUGGGGCGAAGUGCGCGUAGUCGUCGUGCCGAGAAAUAAUCCCUAAGGAACGGCCCUGGGGGACCGUACCGAAAACCGACACAGGUGGGCGAGCUGAGAAUGCGAAGGCGCACGGAAGAAUUCGCGUUAAGGAACUCGGCAAAAUGCAUACGUAACUUCGGGAAAAGUAUGGCCCCCGCAAGGGGGUUGCAGAGAAACGGCCCAUGCGACUGUUUACCAAAAACACAGGUCCAUGCGAACCGGCAACGGGAAGUAUAUGGACUGACACCUGCCCGGUGCUGGAAGGUCAAGAGGAGUUGUCAGAGCGAUCGAAGCAGCGAAUCCAAGCCCCAGUAAACGGCGGCCGUAACUAUAACGGUCCUAAGGUAGCGAAAUUCCUUGUCGGGUAAGUUCCGACCCGCACGAAUGGUGUAACGAUAUGGGCGCUGUCUCAACGCGAAAUCCGGUGAAAUUGAAGUCCAGGUGAAGAUGCCUGGUACCCGUGGUUAGACGGAAAGACCCCGUGAACCUUUACUUCAACUUGGCAUGGGGACUUGGACAGGGAUGUGUAGGAUAGGUGGGAGGCCGCGAGGCGUGGGCGUCAGCCUGCGCGGAGCCGCUGGUGAAAUACCACCCUUGCCUGUCCAAUUCCCUAACCGCGGCCGUGAUCCGGCCGCGGGACAGUGCCAGGCGGGAAGUUUGACUGGGGCGGUCGCCUCCCAAAGAGUAACGGAGGCGCGCGAAGGUCACCUUAGGAUGGUUGGGAAUCAUCCCUCAAGUGUAAAGGCACAAGGUGGCUUGACUGCGAGGCAAACAGGCCGAGCAGGUACGAAAGUAGGUCUUAGUGAUCUGGCGGUAGCGAGUGGAAGCGCCGUCACCUAACGGAUAAAAGGUACUCCGGGGAUAACAGGCUGAUCUUGCCCAAGAGUUCAUAUCGACGGCAAGGUUUGGCACCUCGAUGUCGGCUCAUCGCAUCCUGGGGCUGGAGCAGGUCCCAAGGGUUUGGCUGUUCGCCAAUUAAAGCGGUACGCGAGCUGGGUUCAGAACGUCGUGAGACAGUUCGGUCCCUAUCUGCCAUGGGCGUUGGAUGUCUGAGGGGUUCUGCUUUCAGUACGAGAGGACCGAAGUGGACGAACCUCUGGUGUACCGGUUGUCGUGCCAACGGCAGCUGCCGGGUAGCUACGUUCGGAAGGGAUAACCGCUGAAAGCAUCUAAGCGGGAAGCCCUCCCCAAGAUGAGACAUCCCACCCGCACAAAGCGGGCACAAGGAAACAGGCAGACCACCUGUUCGAUAGGCCGGGGGUGCAAGCACGGCAACGUGUUCAGCCCACCGGUACUAAUCAUCCGAGAGGCUUGACCAUAU